rnacentral:rRNA from 1 species
GAUGAACGCUGGCGGCGUGCCUAAUACAUGCAAGUAGAACGCUGAAGGAGGAGCUUGCUCUUCUGGAUGAGUUGCGAACGGGUGAGUAACGCGUAGGUAACCUGCCUGGUAGCGGGGGAUAACUAUUGGAAACGAUAGCUAAUACCGCAUGACAACAGUUAUUGCAUGAUAACUGUUUAAAAGGGGCAACUGCUCCACUACCAGAUGGACCUGCGUUGUAUUAGAUAGUUGGUGAGGUAACGGCUCACCAAGGCGACGAUACAUAGCCGACCUGGGAGGGGGAUCGGCCACACUGGGACUGAGACACGGCCCAGACUCCUCCGGGAGGCAGCCGUAGGGAGUCUUCCGCAAUGGACCGACGUCUGACCGAGAAACGCCGCGUGAGUGAAGAAGGGUUUCGGAUCGUAAAGCUCUGUUGUAAGAGAAGAACGAGUGUGAGAGUGGAAAGUUCACACUGUGACGGUAUCUUACCAGAAAGGGACGGCUAACUACGUG